rnacentral:rRNA from 1 species
UAGGGAAUCUUCCGCAAUGGACGCAAGUCUGACGGAGCAACGCCGCGUGAGUGAAGAAGGAUUUCGGUUCGUAAAACUCUGUUGUUAGAGAAGAACAGCGCAUAGAGUAACUGUUAUGCGUGUGACGGUAUCUAACCAGAAAGCCACGGCUAACUACGUGCCAGCAGCCGCGGUAAUACGUAGGUGGCAAGCGUUGUCCGGAUUUAUUGGGCGUAAAGCGAGCGCAGGCGGUCAAUUAAGUCUGAUGUGAAAGCCCCCGGCUCAACCGGGGAGGGUCAUUGGAAACUGGUUGACUUGAGUGCAGAAGAGGAGAGUGGAAGUCCAUGUGUAGCGGUGAAAUGCGUAGAUAUAUGGAGGAACACCAGUGGCGAAGGCGACUCUCUGGUCUGUAACCGACGCUGAGGCUCGAAAGCGUGGGUAGCAAACAGG